CCUUCUGCAACUUUGGCUUCGCUGUUUGUCUACAACUUUUAUUUGUUAGUUGUGUGAAGGACUGAACCUAUAAAGUUUAGAAGCUGUCUACAAAUUCCAACAAUAGCAAAUUGAAAAGCAAAGGUGCAAUGAGAGUUAAAGAUGUGUGCAUUGUUUUCAGAAUUACUUGC